rnacentral:rRNA from 1 species
GAUGAACGCUAGCGGCAGGCUUAACACAUGCAAGUCGAGGGGUAUUGGUUUUCGGACCAAGAGACCGGCGCACGGGUGCGUAACGCGUAUGCAAUCUACCUUUUGCAGAGGGAUAGCCCCAGAGAAAUUUGGAUUAAUACCUCAUAGUAUAGUACUUUGGCAUCAAGGAACUAUUAAAGUCACAACGGCAAAAGAUGAGCAUGCGUCCAUUAGCUAGUUGGUAAGGUAACGGCUUACCAAGGCUACGAUGGGUAGGGGUUCUGAGAGGGAGAUCCCCCANACUGGUACUGAGACACGGACCAGACUCCUACGGGAGGCAGCAGUGAGGAUAUUGGACAAUGGGCGCAAGCCUGAUCCAGCCAUGCCCGCGUGCAGGAUGACGGUCCUAUGGAUUGUAAACUGCUUUUANACAGGAAGAAACACUCCGACGUGUCGGAGCUUGACGGUACUGUAAGAAUAAGGAUCGGCUAACUCCGUGCCAGCAG